GACGAACGCUGGCGGCGUGCUUAACACAUGCAAGUCGAACGGAAAGGCCCUGCUUUUGUGGGGUGCUCGAUUGGCGAACGGGUGAGUAACACGUGAGUAACCUGCCCUUGACUUUCGGAUAACUUCACGAAACUGGGGCUAAUACCGCAUAUGAGCUCCUGCUGCAUGGUGGGGGUUGGUGAGUUUCGGCGGUUGGGGAUGGACUCGAGGCUUAUCAGCUUGUUGGUGGGGUAGUGGCUUACCAGGCCUUUGACGGGUAGCCGGCAUGAGAGGGUGACCGGCGACAUUGGGACUGAGAUACGCACCAGAAUGCUACGGGAGGCAGUAGUGGAGAAUCUUGCAGAACAGGGGGAAGUCAGAUGAAGAAAUGCCGCGAGCGGAAUGCCGGGUUACGGGUUGUAAACAGAUUUGGAAUGUAACGAAGAGUGAGUGACGGUAAUGGGUCAAGAAGCAACGGCUAACUACGUG
rnacentral:rRNA from 1 species